CCUACGGGGGGCAGCAGUGAGGAAUAUUGGUCAAUGGGCGCGAGCCUGAACCAGCCAAGUCGCGUGAGGGAGGACGGCCCUACGGGUUGUAAACCUCUUUUGCCGGGGAGCAACGGGCGUCACGUGUGGCGCCACUGAGAGUCCCCGGAGAAAAAGCAUCGGCUAACUCCGUGCCAGCAGCCGCGGUAAUACGGAGGCUGCGAGAGUUAUCCGGUUUUAUUGGGUUUAAAGGGUGCGUAGGCGGUUCGUUAAGUCGGUGGUAAAAUUGAGGGGCUCAACCCCUGCCCGCCAUUGAAACUGGCGCUCUUGAGUGGAAGAGAAGUAUGCGGAAUGCGUGGUGUAGCGGUGAAAUGCAUAGAUAUCACGCAGAACCCCGAUUGCGAAGGCAGCAUGCCGGCUUCCGACUGACGCUGAGGCACGAAAGCGUGGGGAUCGAACAGGAUUAGAUACCCUUGUAGUC
rnacentral:rRNA from 1 species